rnacentral:rRNA from 1 species
GAUGAACGCUGGCGGCGUGCCUAACACAUGCAAGUCGAACGAAGCAUAUAUAACGGAGAUUCGUCGAAGCUGUAUAUGACUUAGUGGCGGACGGGUGAGUAAUGUAUGAGCAACCUGCCUUUCAGAGGGGGACAACAGUUGGAAACGACUGCUAAUACCGCAUAAUGUAUUGAGGGGACAUCCCCUUAAUACCAAAGGAGCAAUCCGCUGAAAGAUGGGCUCAUAUCUGAUUAGCUAGUUGGCGGGGUAACGGCCCACCAAGGCGACGAUCAGUAGCCGGACUGAGAGGUUGAACGGCCACAUUGGGACUGAGAUACGGCCCAGACUCC